rnacentral:rRNA from 1 species
AGCGAACGCUGGCGGCAGGCUUAACACAUGCCAGUCGAGCGGGCACUUCGGUGUCAGCGGCAGACGGGUGAGUAACACGUGGGAACGUACCCUUUGGUUCGGAAUAACGCUGGGAAACUAGCGCUAAUACCGGAUACGCCCUUUUGGCGAAAGGCUUGCUGCCGAAGGAUCGGCCCGCGUCUGAUUAGCUAGUUGGUGGGGUAAUGGCCUACCAAGGCGACGAUCAGUAGCUGGUCUGAGAGGAUGAUCAGUCACACUGGGACUGAGACACGGCCCAGACUCCUACGGGAGGCAGCAGUGGGGAAUAUUGGACAAUGGGCGCAAGCCUGAUCCAGCCAUGCCGCGUGAGUGAUGAAGGCCUUAGGGUUGUAAAGCUCUUUUGUCCGGGACGAUAAUGACGGUACCGGAAGAAUAAGCCCCGGCUAACUUCGUG